ACCACCUCAGCCGCCUCUAGCAGCUGUUGUCCUCACCACCGCUGCUAGUCACCGCCGCUGCAACAUCCACCUCUUCCCUGAUUUAUUUUUGUUUUGUUCUUCAUUACAGGUUGAGUCAUCGUAAACAAUAAGGAAAGCAGAAGCAGCAAGGCGAUGGACAUGGAUACGGAAGAUACCCUAUAAAAAGCAUGCUUAGUGAAGCACUAGCCCCUUUGCUCUUAGUUAGUGAACAGAGGACUGUGCGACAUUCAAGUGUGGGGGAGGUUUAGAGCAGAAAUUUUGGUUGUAAAGACACUUCUUCCAAACACCUUCACAUUUUAUUUUUUACUAUUAUGUUUUUUAGAUUUUCUGUUAGCUAUUUGGUUACUUUGAAUUCUCUUUUAGUAGUUGCAUUUUAUUUUGGUUUGUGUAUAACUUUGUUAUCUUUUCUAGUUUUACUUUUUGUUAAUUGCAUUUCAUUUUGGUUUGAACAUAGCUUAGAUAUCUAUUCUAGCUUUAGUAUAUUUUCUUCUCUUAAUAUGGUUUGUACAUAUAUCUUUUUAUCUUUUAGUUGUGAUUGGAUAAUGUGGAUAAUAGGACCUAGUUCAUUUUUCUUUCUGCACGUGAUGAUUUGGAUUGAUAGAGAAUAGGAAAAGGACUUAGAAAUUUUUGCUUUUCAUCAAACCACAUCAUACAUAUAUACACAUAUAAUAAGUUUAGUCAAAAUAAUUAAUUUUCAAGAUAAUUUUCUUAUAGGGCAACCCAUUGAUUUGAGUUAAAGUUUUUAUUGAACUUACUCGAAAAACAUUGUAGAACAUAGAUUAGAGCUAGAACAUGCAAUCAAGUGAGAUUUGAGCUCUAAUGUGUGGUUGUAUUAUAUUAACCACUAUUUUAUUCUUGUGUGUAUUAUUCUCUUUCUAUGAUUGUAAUCUUUGAUUUGUUAAUUCUUUAUUUCCAAUAUUUUUUGUAUGAAUGCAUUUACAUGAUUGAGGUUUCUAUUUUAUUAGAACUCACUUACCCAAAUAGCCUUACCCUUUCUAUUUACCAUUGUUAUUCAAUUUCGAGCUUUUUUAAUCCCCUUUUAUUCUAAUGUUUAGCACAAUACCACCCCUAAGUGAAAAACAAUAUAUGUCUUAAUUUAGAUCUUUGAUUAGCUUAGAUUAGUAAGUGUGUAUCAUCUAAGUGGUGGGGAAUGGAGUUUGAGAAUAUGUGUAGAGAGUAAAAUGGGUAUUUUGGAUUUUUGUUAAAAAUUUUUGGAAUUAGCUACAUAUUCAUACAUUAAAUGUUUAAAUCAUAUGCAUUAAUCCCUUGUGUAUAUAUUAUGUUUCAAAAGAAAAGGAAAAAAAAAAAGGGGGACAAAUGUUACUUUAAAAGUAAAGUUAAAAAAAGAAAUAAAAUGCAUGUCAUGUGUUGAAAAAAAUGCAUGUGUGUGUGGAAGAAAGUGAAUAAUGGUAGCUAGAUUUUGUAUUAGAGUUGAAUAGGUUGUCAUAGGUUUGGUGCGAGUUUAAGUUAAUCAAAGAUUCAAUUUCAAGUUCACUUAGUCAAAUACAAUCCUACCUUGACCUUAGUUACAUUACUACCCUUGAAAAGCUCUCAUGAUACUUGCACGCAUACAUUGCCAAUUUUAAUUCACUUUUCUUCCAUUCGACGUCUUGAUAUGUUUGUUUGAAUGAUUUAAGGUUUUGAAGGUAAGGAUGACUUGAAGAAGUGGAAGAAAAGCAUGCAAAGUGGAAGAAUUCAUGAAGAAAUGAAGGAUUUGCAAAGUUGUCAAUCCUGACCUCUUCACACUAAAUUGAUCAUAACUUGAGCUACAAAGGUCCAAAUAAGGUGAUUCCAAAGGUCCAAUCCAACUCAUUUCUAAUGCUAUUGAACCAAAGAUUGAAAGGGGAUGAAGGAAGUAGUAUAGUUUAGAUUUUUAUUAUGUAUUAGGACAAUUCUAGAGAGAGAAGCUCCAACUUCUCUCUAGAAUUUAGAGUUUUUUAGUUUAAUUUUUCCUUAAAUUUAGUUUUUAAUCUUGUUUUAGUUUAGUUUUCUAUAUUUUUUCUUAUUCUAUCCUUUUAAUUCACUUACCUUUUAUUGUUAGUUUCUUGUUUUAUGCUAUUUUAGUUUCAUGAACACUUGUGAAUUUGGUUUUCUAUUAAUGUAAUCUUGAUGUUUUUCA